GAAAGUACGACAUUGCUCACAUUGCUUCCAGUGUUUACUUUUAUAGCCAGCAACUUCAUGCUGGCUUUUUUUU
rnacentral:antisense_RNA from 3 species